ensembl:lncRNA
AGUCCAGUUGUUUAACCUAACCCUGCAAAAGCACCUGGAUAGAAAAACCCACUGUGAAACACUUUCAAUCAUAGAUUGGGCUCCCCAGAACCCAGACCUUGGCAUUAUUGAAACAGUGAGGGAUCACCUCAACAGAGAACAGAACAAAAAGCAUCCAGCAUCCAAAGAAGGGCUUUGAAUGUCCUUUAAGAAGCCUGGAGAGCUGUUCCUGAAGACUACGUAAAGAAAUUAUAAGAAAGUUGCAUUAAAGAGUUCAGGCUACACUGAAGAAUGCUGACAUUCAAGCUCGUUAGAAGUAUACAAACAUUUUGCCUUGCAUACUUUAUAUCCAUGUAUGUUUGCAGAUGUUUUAAUAUAUCAGUGCACUUAUUUUUCCAUUAUUUUAAAGUGAAAUAAAUAUGAAAUAAUGGGAGGGUGGCCGUAUUUAUGUUUGGCAAAUAACUCAAUAGGGGUUUCUUUCCCUGACUCUUCUCAUGCUCGCACAUGCAUUUGUUUAGCUGAGUGUUAUUUGUCAACUGUGGCGCUCCCACGGGCCUUGAUAUUCUUGUUUUUCAUCUGUAAAGAUGUCACAUCCUUGAUACUAGAAAUAUUUCAGAUUUUUCUAUAGCGUGACAUUCGUUUUUUUUUUUGUUUUUUUUCUCUUUUGGAUUUAAUUAAAUACUUUCUUUUUUCCUCCAGUGUCAUCUCUUCAAUUGCUGCAUCAUUUUUUUUAUUUUACAUCUGAAUAGAUCGGAACAAUAAUGUUGAUGUCAGAGCUUAGAUGUCUUUGUCUCACCCUCGUCUCGUGAGAGUUUGGAAAGAUUACCUUAAGCCCGAGGUGGUAUGACUCAACGGAGGCAUUUUUUAGCCAGUUUCAUCAUAGUCCAUGCUCUUCUUCUGUCUCUCAAUAUUUUUACCUGCUGUGCCAAUCUGAUCUUGUAGGCAGUUUCCAUUUCCCUUUUCCUUUGAGCAAGUUUUUUUCUGCCCAAUCUGCCCUUUCUCUGUAAGCAGCUGCCUUCUUUUAUCAUGCUUUUUUUCCCCAUCAGCAGCCCAUUUCAUUCCUCAGGCUUUAUAACUUAUUUUGUUUCAUAUUCUUCACACCUGCUCAGUCCAUGCCCCAGCUCUCCUUUCCUCCUAAAGCAAUUUCUCAUUCUAUCACUUCUUGUUCCAAUAAAUGCUUCAUUAGUACAUCUGCUUUCAUUCUGAUUUCCUUUAUCUCAUCAAUUUUCUUUCUUCUCUCCCUCACCUACCACAGUGUGACAGUUCUUCCAGAUGCUCUCUUCUUUUUACAUUAUUGCCUUUAAUCUAUUCUUUCCAUGCAUUUUAUCUAGCCUCAAUCCAGCCUUUUAUGAGUAAAACUAAAAAC